rnacentral:rRNA from 1 species
UGGGGAAUAUUGCACAAUGGGCGCAAGCCUGAUGCAGCCAUGCCGCGUGUGUGAAGAAGGCCUUCGGGUUGUAAAGCACUUUCAGCGAGGAGGAAGGUGGUGGACUUAAUACGUUCAUCAAUUGACGUUACUCGCAGAAGAAGCACCGGCUAACUCCGUGCCAGCAGCCGCGGUAAUACGGAGGGUGCAAGCGUUAAUCGGAAUUACUGGGCGUAAAGCGCACGCAGGCGGUUUGUUAAGUCAGAUGUGAAAUCCCCGGGCUCAACCUGGGAACUGCAUUUGAAACUGGCAAGCUAGAGUCUCGUAGAGGGGGGUAGAAUUCCAGGUGUAGCGGUGAAAUGCGUAGAGAUCUGGAGGAAUACCGGUGGCGAAGGCGGCCCCCUGGACGAAGACUGACGCUCAGGUGCGAAAGCGUGGGGAGCAAACAGGAUUAGAUACCCCUGGUAGUCCACGCUGUAAACGAUGUCGAUUUGGAGGUUGUGCCCUUGAGGCGUGGCUUCCGGAGCUAACGCGUUAAAUCGACCGCCUGGGGAGUACGGCCGCAAGGUU